rnacentral:rRNA from 1 species
AACGAACGCUGGCGGCAUGCCUAACACAUGCAAGUCGAACGAUCCCUUCGGGGAUAGUUGCGCACGGGUGCGUAACGCGUGGGAACCUGCCCUUAGGUUCGGAAUAACUCAGAGAAAUUUGAGCUAAUACCGGAUAAUGUCUUCGGACCAAAGAUUUAUCGCCUUUGGAUGGGCCCGCGUUGGAUUAGCUAGUUGGUGGGGUAAAGGCCUACCAAGGCGACGAUCCAUAGCUGGUCUGAGAGGAUGAUCAGCCACACUGGGACUGAGACACGGCCCAGACUCCUACGGGAGGCAGCAGUGGGGAAUAUUGGACAAUGGGCGAAAGCCUGAUCCAGCAAUGCCGCGUGAGUGAUGAAGGCCUUAGGGUUGUAAAGCUCUUUUACCCGGGAUGAUAAUGACAGUACCGGGAGAAUAAGCCCCGGCUAACUCCGUG